GGGUUCAUGGUGUAGUGGUUAGCACUCUGGACUUUGAAUCCAGCCACCUCAGUUCAAAUCUCAGUAGAACCU
rnacentral:tRNA from 1 species